rnacentral:rRNA from 1 species
CGCUCCCGACGCGACCCCAGGUCAGGCGG